GGGAGUAGAUGGCAUCUUUUCAGAUACAGGGGCUGAGACAUAAUAAAAGGAGGAAGAUGAAACGUUAGGAAAGCACCAUCUUGUUUGGAGAAUCACAUAUAUGAGAGAAAGUAGGCAAUGGAAUUGUCCAUUCCUAGCAAGUCAAGGCUCUCCUCUGAGCCCAAGUCUCCUUUGGGAAAUAACUGGAUGGGCCCAAUAACAGAACCCUGACCAGCUAAAGGCAAUCAACAACCUGUGCAAGCUUUCCUUUUAAAACAAAACACCAGCAAGUAUGAAGACAUGACACCAUCGGAAUGGAUCCAGACAUGUCCAUGCUUCCCUCUUGGAACACUCACCUUGUGAGUGUAGUUGCAUACUUUUUAAACCUCUCUAAAAUUAGAGUCCUUUUUUCACACACCAACACUAACUCCACAGGAUCUUCUCAAAAUGUCUCCCCAUGCUCAGGUGAUAUUUAAAAGAAAUCUAUUGACCAAAA